UACGUAGGUGGCAAGCGUUGUUCGGAAUUACUGGGCGUAAAGGGCGCGUAGGCGGCCUUCUAAGUCAGACGUGAAAUCCCCCGGCUUAACCUGGGAACUGCGUCUGAUACUGGAGGGCUUGAGUGCGGGAGAGGGAUGUGGAAUUCCAGGUGUAGCGGUGAAAUGCGUAGAUAUCUGGAGGAACACCGGUGGCGAAGGCGGCAUCCUGGACCGACACUGACGCUGAGGCGCGAAAGCUAGGGUAGCAAACGGGG
rnacentral:rRNA from 1 species